rnacentral:rRNA from 1 species
UGACCUCGGAUCAUGUAUGGAUACCCGCUGAACUUAAGCAUAUCAAUAAGCGAAGGAA